UGACAAUUGGGGUGUAAUAUAAGGUUAAGCUCUAGGUGGAGCAGGAUAUUGUAGCCAACCACCAGCACUAGCCCGUAUUUUUUUAGUUUGGUCUUAUUUUGGUGAGAAAAUAUAUUUAUUUACUUAAUUUUCCACAUCAUUGGGGCUGUCAGACGUAUGUGAAUGCUCAUCAGUUUAAUGAAUUAACCUUUAUGGACUGCUUGGGGUUGUAAUGCCUUUUACUUUAUUUUGUUUUUUUGGUUGGCUUAAAAAUGCUGAAUUUCAUGAGCAAUGUGAACUGAAAGUGUUUGUUGCUUCAGUUAAGCAAUAAUAUAUAUAUAUUUUAAGUUUUGCUCAUUUUG
rnacentral:misc_RNA from 1 species